rnacentral:rRNA from 1 species
GACAGAGGGGGCAAGCGUUGCUCGGAAUCACUGGGCGUAAAGGGCGCGUAGGCGGGAUGGCAAGUCAGUCGUGAAAUCUCUCGGCUCAACCGAGAAACGUCGGCUGAUACUGCCGUUCUUGAGGGAUGCAGAGGAGACUGGAAUUCCCGGUGUAGCGGUGAGAUGCGUAGAUAUCAGGAGGAAUACCUGAGGCGAAGGCGGCUAUCUGGACCAACAUUGACACUGAGGCCCGAAAGCGUGGGGAUCAAACAGG